UACGAAGGGGGCUAGCGUUGCUCGGAAUCACUGGGCGUAAAGGGCGCGUAGGCGGACUCUUAAGUCGGGGGUGAAAGCCCAGGGCUCAACCCUGGAAUUGCCUUCGAUACUGAGAGUCUUGAGUUCGGAAGAGGUUGGUGGAACUGCGAGUGUAGAGGUGAAAUUCGUAGAUAUUCGCAAGAACACCAGUGGCGAAGGCGGCCAACUGGUCCGAUACUGGCGCUGAGGCGCGAAAGCGUGGGGAGCAAACAGG
rnacentral:rRNA from 1 species